rnacentral:rRNA from 1 species
UACGGAGGGUGCAAGCGUUAUCCGGAUUUACUGGGUUUAAAGGGUGUGUAGGCGGGCCUUUAAGUCAGUGGUGAAAUCUCCGAGCUUAACUUGGAAACUGCCAUUGAUACUAUUGGUCUUGAAUGUUGUUGAGGUGGGCGGAAUAAGUCAUGUAGCGGUGAAAUGCAUAGAUAUGACUUAGAACACCAAUUGCGAAGGCAGCUCACUAAACAAUGAUUGACGCUGAGGCACGAAAGCGUGGGGAUCAAACAGG